UGGGGAAUAUUGGACAAUGGGCGCAAGCCUGAUCCAGCAAUGCCGCGUGUGUGAAGAAGGCCUUCGGGUUGUAAAGCACUUUUAUCAGGAGCGAAACGCUGUCGGCUAAUACCCGGCGGAACUGACGGUACCUGAGGAAUAAGCACCGGCUAACUUCGUGCCAGCAGCCGCGGUAAUACGAAGGGUGCAAGCGUUAAUCGGAAUUACUGGGCGUAAAGCGUGCGUAGGCGGUUUCUUAAGUCUGCUGUGAAAUCCCCGGGCUCAACCUGGGAAUGGCAGUGGAUACUGGGAGGCUAGAGUGUGUCAGAGGGUGGUGGAAUUCCCGGUGUAGCGGUGAAAUGCGUAGAGAUCGGGAGGAACAUCAGUGGCGAAGGCGGCCACCUGGGACAACACUGACGCUGAGGCACGAAAGCGUGGGGAGCAAACAGGAUUAGAUACCCUGGUAGUCCACGCCCUAAAAGCGAUGCGAACUGGAUGUUGGUCUCAACUCGGAGAUCAGUGUCGAAGCUAACGCGUUAAGUUCGCCGCCUGGGGAGUACGGUCGCAAGACUGAAACUCAAAUGAAUUGAC
rnacentral:rRNA from 1 species